rnacentral:rRNA from 1 species
UACCAGCCCUCCGAGUGGUAGGGAUGAUUAUUGGGCUUAAAGCGUCCGUAGCCGGCUUAGCAAGUUUCCUGUUAAACUCUGCGACUUAAUCGUUGAAUCGCGGGAAAUACUACUAGGCUAGGAGGCGGGAGAGGUCAACGGUACUUCUGGGGUAGGGGUGAAAUCCUAUAAUCCCGGGAGGACCACCAGUGGCGGAGGCUGUUGACUAGAACGCGCUCGACGGUGAGGGACGAAAGCUGGGGGAGCGAACCGGAUUAGAUACCCGGGUAGUCCCAGCUGUAAACGAUGCGGGCUAGGUGUUGGGAUGGCUACGUGCCAUUUCAGUGCCGCAGGGAAGCCAUUAAGCCCGCCGCCUGGGGAGUACGGCCGCAAGGCUGAAACUUAAAGGAAUUGGCGGGGGAGCACCACAAGGCGUGAAGCUUGCGGUUC